rnacentral:rRNA from 1 species
AUAUCAAUAAGCGGAGGAAAAGAAACCAACAGGGAUUACCUUAGUAACGGCGAGUGAAGCGGUAACAGCUCAAAUUUGAAAUCUGGCCCUUCUAGGGUCCGAGUUGUAAUUUGUAGACGAUGCUUUGGGUGUGGUGCCGGUCUAAGUUCCUUGGAACAGGACGUCAUAGAGGGUGAGAAUCCCGUAUGUGAUCGGUCGCCUCCGCCCGUGUAAAGCUCGUUCGACGAGUCGAGUUGUUUGGGAAUGCAGCUCAAAAUGGGUGGUAAAUUUCAUCUAAAGCUAAAUAUUGGCCAGAGACCGAUAGCGCACAAGUA